GUGUUGUAUGAAAGAGAGACGUUUAGCACUCCCCUUGACAAGGAUGGAACACACAUACUGGUUAAGGCACUGUUGUAAUACAGCACUUAACCACAUUUUUUG
rnacentral:ncRNA from 1 species